rnacentral:rRNA from 1 species
UUCAACGUGAGAGUUUGAUCCUGGCUCAGAGCGAACGCUGGCGGCAGGCUUAACACAUGCAAGUCGAGCGGGCCCUUCGGGGUCAGCGGCGGACGGGUGAGUAACGCGUGGGAACGUGCCUUCUGGUUCGGAAUAACCCUGGGAAACUAGGGCUAAUACCGGAUACGCCCUUUUGGGGAAAGGUUUACUGCCGGAAGAUCGGCCCGCGUCU